GCAUAUUAUCAUAAAAGACCUAUAGUCAAACUAAGCACACCAUGUUCCUAUCAUCAAAACCUUCUUCGUUGAUCGUUGUACAAACAACAAAUGAACUUCAGAAGCAGCAAAAAGCAAUUCAAAGAUCCAUUAUCACAGACACCCAGAUGAUUAAGGAUCUUCCUCAUGAUCAAAACGCAUAAAAUUCAAAAAUAUGGAAACCUCUCAAUCCUCAUUAUCUAAGCAGGACAUGACCAAUUAACACUAUAUCUUUCCUCAUUAUCUAGCUUAAUUUUCCAAUCCUAUUACCUAUUUGCCUUAUUUUCUAACCCGCCAAUUAAAGAAAUCGAAAAAAUAUAUACUUUCAAAUUUAAAUAACGCUUUGUAAUCAGCCCUUACAUUUUCUGACGCGGCUGGCAGGA
rnacentral:misc_RNA from 1 species